CUGAGGUUGUAUAAUGCCUUUUUACGAGCCAACAUUCACAUUUGAGCAGAAUAUUGAGCACCGUCCACCGGGAAUUGAUCGAGAGCAUUAGAGAGAGUUCCUAGAAUAUCGCACCAAAGCUGAGACGAAGGAGAAGUGCAGGAAGAACGCGAUUAAUCGAUCAAAACAACUAUAUACCCACACUGGCGGUUUGAAAAGCUUCACACGGCGGAUGGAAGAAGAUUAUGAAGAACAAGGAAGGAGAGUCGGUAGAGGAGAGUUAUGGAUCACAGUGCACAAAGAAAAUGAUGGCUCCUAUAUGAAUGAUG